rnacentral:lncRNA from 1 species
GGCAAGAACCACUCAACCCCUUCUCCUUCACCCUUAGUGGCAAGUCCCGCUUUUCUGGGGGAGGGGCAAGUACCCCUCAGCCCCUCCUCCUUCACCCUUAGCAGCAAGUCCCACUUUUCUAGGGGGCAAGAACCCCCAAUCCCUUAUUUCCAUAUCCCGACCUCUUAUCUCUGUACCCCAAUCCAUUAUUUCCACACCCCAACCUCUUAUCUCUGAGCC